GACGAACGCUGGCGGCGUGCUUAACACAUGCAAGUCGAGCGGUAAGGCCCUUUCGGGGGUACACGAGCGGCGAACGGGUGAGUAACACGUGGGUGACCUGCCCUCAGCUCUGGGAUAAGCCUGGGAAACUGGGUCUAAUACCGGAUAUGACUCCAUGACGCAUGUUGUGGGGUGGAAAGCCUUGUGCGGCUGAGGAUGGGCCCGCGGCCUAUCAGCUUGUUGGUGGGGUGAUGGCCUACCAAGGCGACGACGGGUAGCCGGCCUGAGAGGGCGACCGGCCACACUGGACUGAGACACGGCCCAGACUCCUACGGGAGGCAGCAGUGGGGAAUCUUGCGCAAUGGGCGAAAGCCUGACGCAGCGACGCCGCGUGAGGGAUGACGGCC
rnacentral:rRNA from 1 species